rnacentral:rRNA from 1 species
AUGAACGCUGGCGGCGUGCCUAAUCCAUGCCAGUCGAGCGAACGGACGAGAAGCUUGCUUCUCUGAUGUUAGCGGCGGACGGGUGAGUAACACGUGGAUAACCUACCUAUAAGACUGGGAUAACUUCGGGAAACCGGAGCUAAUACCGGAUAAUAUUUUGAACCGCAUGGUUCAAAAGUGAAGGACGGUCUUGCUGUCACUUAUAGAUGGAUCCGCGCUGCAUUAGCUAGUUGGUAAGGUAACGGCUUACCAAGGCAACGAUGCAUAGCCGACCUGAGAGGGUGAUCGGCCACACUGGAACUGAGACACGGUCCAGACUCCUACGGGAGGCAGCAGUAGGGAAUCUUCCGCAAUGGGCGAAAGCCUGACGGAGCAACGCCGCGUGAGUGAUGAAGGUCUUCGGAUCGUAAAACUCUGUUAUUAGGGAAGAACAUAUGUGUAAGUAACUGUGCACAUCUUGACGGUACCUAAUCAGAAAGCCACGGCUAACUACGUG